AAACCGAAUAAAGUCUUCAUCUGAUGCUC
rnacentral:piRNA from 1 species